rnacentral:tRNA from 1 species
AAGAGUAACAUUUUAGAAAUUAUGGCUGCUAACUGUGAUUUGAGUGAGUAGUGUCAUUCUUACUUUUGU